rnacentral:lncRNA from 1 species
GCCUGGGGUGCCCGGAGAACUUUGGGACCCUCUGCUCCGCUCCCCGGCCUGGGCGGGUCCCAAAAAUCUACGCGCCUCGGGUCGCCCUGGUCCACUGUAACUCCACUUCGCGGCCCUGGGCCGCAAGUCCCGGGGUCCGGAGGCAGACGGGACCUCGGGGAUGUCCGUGUGCCCCCAUCUCCUGGCGCCCUUGGCGUGUGCGCUUUGCCCUUGGGGGCUGAGACCUUCAGUGUUCCCAUUUGAGUUCUGUAAAACAACAACAACAACAAAAACCAAGGAGAAAGAAGACAGGGAGCGAAGGCAGCCUUAA